GUUGAAUUCAGAUAGAUGACCCCAAGGCAAUAACGAGCAGUAAGGAAGACUGCUCUUUGUCCUGGGGGAAGACGUGAGCUCACUCUUCAAGGUUGCUCCCUGAAAACACAGCCCUGAGAACUUGACCAGGUGGUUUUGCUCUUCUUAUUGAUAUGAAGAUGUCAGAGUACUCCUACAAAAUCCUCUAUUACUGGGAUAGACUGAGGGUUCUGUCACUUGUGAUCAACAUAUUACUAUGUAAGACUGAAACAUUUGGCUGGUUCCUCAUCAGAAAACCGGGAGGAUGUAGUAAACAGAGAAACUACAAUACUGACAUUUCACAACUCUGUUCUCCUACUGCCUGCUUUGUUUGAGGAAGUUGAAAAAGAAGAUGACUGGGAGGAAG
rnacentral:lncRNA from 1 species